UGUUAUUUGUAGACGGUCCCUCAGAUGAGCGACACUCCAUAGAGAAUUUGUUUUGCCUCCCAAAAAAAUGAGAAAUGGUGGAUUCGCAGCAAUGGGUCUACAAGCAUCCCAGAAAUCUUGGAGUUCCCCAGGCUUCUAGAAAAACUUGGCAUGAUGCUAAAAGGGAGAGUGCUUUCAAAGUCCUGCCCACUCUGCUUCCCCAAUCAAUAUACAAGAACGGAGGAAAGGUCUUCAGACCCACAACCACAGAAUCCUGGAAGUCAUUCAUUUGACGUACAACCUGUGGGGACCAACAUGGUGAUGCAUUCCUGAACAUUUUGUGCCUUGGUGACGAGACAACGACAUCCCACACCUUCACCAUUGUUUCGGGCCAUGCCAUUGAAACGGACUUGUUGCUUGAGGCUUUUAUCUUUUAAGUCCUUUUUUUGUGCUUGAUGUUAGCUACACUAACAUCUUCCUUCCUGGGAAUUUCUCCAGCAUGCAGUAUAUCAUACUGAUGGACAUGAGUCUUCAUGUGUGAAGUAUUUGAGGGCACCAGUUUUUUCUGGCCACUUGUAACGUUUUAAUUUUUUGUCACAUGUAUCGUCUGUUGUAGGUCUCUUUGUUUGGCUUAGGUUUAAUGGCACAAUGUUUGGACUGAUUCUCAUGUGGCAAUAAUCAAUUUCAUAGUGUUAUGAUGCUGCAAUGUUGACAAAGAAUAGGAAUCUACAGUACCUAGUUUACAAAGUUUUGUUUUUUAAAGAAACUGAUCUACAAAAAACAUUUUAUUUGUGUCUGUAGGGAUUGGGUGUAAUGUGUAACAGUAUUCAAAUUUUUUUUUAAAAAGAAAUGUGAAAACUCAUUAAAUUGAUA